GUGGCCGGCGGGCGCAGGCGAAUUUCCGCAGGGAGCACAGUGAGGAGCUAGCGGUUGGGGUCGGGUCUCCGGGCGCGUGUUCCCCCCGCGGUGAGGGUGAACUAACGGAGGUGGGCGGGCCGGCGCGCCGGGUUAGCAGGCGUUUAUCCUGUAUGGCCGCAGCAGUCAGCGUUCCUCACCAGCACGAGCCCCGCUUGCAGAGCCCUAGGCGGCGGCCAGCAGGAGGCCUCCCGCGGGAACUGUCACUCCGCCAAAAUACUCACAGCAAGAGAGAUAAACAAGCAAAAGUCUAGAAACAAGCCAGCUGUCCAUCUACAGUGGAAAGCGUAAACAAAUUGUGAUGUGUUCACGUACUGGAAUUUUACCCUGGCGUGAAAAAUCCACGAACCACAGCUGCAAGCAACAAUAUGGCCCUGUGUUUCGGCUGGAGUUUUCACGGGUCAGAGGAAGAAGAGAAUGGGCAUCGGUUGCUUGGCUCCAAACCCGAGCGUCAUCCUGAAUUGCACGCCGCCCCUCACACCCCAAAGCCCACCCAUCACCAAGAAUUGUCACCUCUCCCACCAAAGCACGUCUCAGCUUCCCAUCUCUCUUAGACUCAAACCCUAACCUCUCACGGAGACCUGCAGGGACCCCGGACCCUGCCCUGCCCACCUCCUCAGCCUCCUACCACAGCCCCACUGCCUGUGCCCUUCUGUCCGCUUGGCCCAGAAUGCGCUUCCCCUGGGUCACAACUGCCCCCUUGUCACUUACACCGCAGCAUGAAUGUUAUCAACGCGGAGAGGCCAUCGGAGACCAACCCAGGUGCUUGCUCAGUUCACCUUGUUUUAUUUUCCUCAAAACAGGACCACUCAAAUUAUUUCUGUAUGGGUUUGUUUUCUGUCCAGUCUAAUUUGUCUGGUUCACUAUUUUCCAACACCAAGCACAGUGCCUGGCAAGUAUUAGGAGCUCAGUAAAUCUUUCUUAGAUAAAGAACUAAAUGUGUGAAAGAGAGAGAGAGAGAGAGGGUGGUGGGAACUAGCUUUUCUAGAAUAACCAGUACAUUCCAGGGGUCUCACGUGCAUUAUGUAAUUUAACCGUCACAAUAACUCUGUGAAGUAGGUAUUGUCGGCUCCAUUUCACCAUUGAUGACACUGAGGAGAGGGUAAGCGACCUCACCUAGUUCACGUAGUCCACAUUCGAACCCAGAUCCACCUGACUCACUAACUCCUGUCCUUUCCACAGUACUGUUGCCCCUUGCCACGCAAUAAAACCACAACCUGGCUUCAUCGUGGGUGACACAGAGGAAAACUCCCACGUCCCUCUGUUGGACAUUCUGCCCUAACCACUCACCUCCCCUUCCCCCAAAAUUAUCCUGCCCUCAUUUGUGUGCCUGAGUAUGUGCUCAAGCACACUGGUAAGUACAGGCUCCCCCUGCCCCUGGGUCUGCAGGAGUGGUGUAGUGGUCAGGGCUCUCCAGAGGAAGAGGGCAAUGGGGGAUACAGAGAGACAGACACAAAAGAUAGGUAGACAGACAGACAGACAGGCAGACACAAUAUGGUUUCUAAUUCCAUUCUCUAAUAAAGAGCCAAGGCUCCUUGGGAGGUGGCUGAUUCUAGGGCUGGGGCAAGAAAUUUACAAGAUGAGCCUGGAGCAUCUUGUUGUGCCAGAAAAUAGGAAAGUGAUCAAGGGAAUUCCCCUGCGGUCCAGUGGUUGGGACUCAGCGCUCUCACUGCCAGGGCCCAGGGUUUGAUCCCUGGUCAGGGAACUAAGAUCCCACAAGUCUCACGGUGCUGCAAAAAAAAAAAAAAAAAAAAAAAAGUGAUCAAAAACCAAAAUGAUGAAGGUAUAGGGGUAUGACAGGGGGACACAGGCGCCAACCUGAACGAGUUCCCAAUGGCCAAAGCAAAAAUAAUGGGAACAUCAAAAUAAAUAGCAAAGUAUUGGGUUAGAAUUAAAGUAUAGAGUAAAUAUUCAUGAGUCAAUACUGAUAUAAACAAAUAUUAAUUUAGGUAAAUUCUCCCCCACAAAAAAGUGGAGCUUACCUCCACACCCCUGAGUGUCGCUAGACUUAGUGACCUGCACCCAAAGAACAGACAAGAGAAAGAAAAGUAAAGUAACUGUGGUGGAGAAACCUGGGGGUCAGUGUGAGUGCCGUCAGAGGCGAGUCACGUUGACAGCGUGCACCUUUGAUGUGGGGUGAUGAGAACGGCCCUUCACCCAUGAGGCCUUUCUCCCAAAACGCACACCCUCAGUCCAACCAUGAGGAAAAUGUCAGACAGACUCACAUUGAACGGCAUUCUACAGAAUACCAGACCAGUACUCCCCAAAGUCGUCAAGGUCAUCAAAAACAAGGGGAGUCUGGGAAAUUAUCGCGGGCCUUAGAGGAGGCUAAGUAUAAUAAUGUGUCAACAUUAGUUCAUUGGUUGUGAUAAAUGUACCGUAAGUAAGAGGAAGACAGCGAGGGAGCCUGGGUACGGAGAACACAGGAACUCUUACUCUCUUUGCAACUUUUCUGUAAAUCAAAAAUUUAAAGUUUAGUCUUUAAAAAGGAAGAGAAAGAAUACCAGGUACUUUGCAAAAUCUCCAGGAGGACCAGAGAGCCAGACUUGAAGGAAAGAUGCCCCAGUCAAGAGCUGGUCCCUUGAAGACACCAGUGCACCAUUUCUGAGUGUAGACACACAGCCCAUCCAUGGCUUAUCUGACGCUGGUCACUUCUAAGACUUCUCCUAUCUGGACCCUGGAUGUGGCUAAUUGGCAGAGCCUGGGUCAUGAGCACCCACCUGAGCUGCAAAGGAAUGACCUCACACUGGUAGCUGAGAUCGGCCGUGCUGGGAGCAUUUACACCAUGGAAAUCAGCAAAUGCUGCAAAUCAGGGCCCUUUCCCUCCCCCUUGUAGAGCUGGUUAUUAGAUACAGCAUACCAGUGGAGCCAGCAAAGAUUUUAGAAAGAGCCUAAAAUGAAGAUUUUCCUUAUUAUGGGCUGAAGUCAAACAACAGAUGAUCAGAGUUGGCAUCCUUUCAUGGAAACUGAGCGAGACUCUGGCCUGCUGGAGGUCAUCCCAAGUGUCUGGAGAGCUGGACCAAGGGGGCUCCUGAAGGGGAAACAGGAUUUUUCUCAAGAAAACAAUUCUAAAUCUGUGAAAGUAAAUCAAAGUUU